GCCGCUUUAGCUCAAUUGGUAGAGCACCUGAUUUGUAAUCAGGCGGUUGUGGGUUCGAUUCCCAUGGGCGGCUCCA
rnacentral:tRNA from 1 species